AGGAUGAACGCUAGCGACAGGCCUAACACAUGCAAGUCGAGGGGCAGCACAAGGAGCAAUCUGAGGUGGCGACCGGCGCACGGGUGAGUAACACGUAUGCAACCUGCCUGUAAGCGGGGAAUAACCCGUUGAAAGACGGACUAAUACCGCAUAAUACUAAAUUACUGCAUGGUAAUUUAUUUAAACAUUUAUGGCUUACAGAUGGGCAUGCGCAUGAUUAGCUAGUUGGAGAGGUAACGGCUCCCCAAGGCAACGAUCAUUAGGGGUUCUGAGAGGAAGGUCCCCCACACUGGUACUGAGACACGGACCAGACUCCUACGGGAGGCAGCAGUGAGGAAUAUUGGUCAAUGGACGAGAGUCUGAACCAGCCAAGUCGCGUGCAGGAAGAAUGUCCCUAUGGAUUGUAAACUGCUUUUGCAGGGGAAUAAAGUGCAUCACGUGUGAUGUUUUGUAUGUACUCUGCGAAUAAGGAUCGGCUAACUCCGUGCCAGCAGCGGC
rnacentral:rRNA from 1 species